UACGUAGGGUGCAAGCGUUGUCCGGAAUUAUUGGGCGUAAAGAGCUCGUAGGCGGUCUGUCGCGUCGGCUGUGAAAUCCCGAGGCUCAACCUCGGGUCUGCAGUCGAUACGGGCAAACUAGAGUAUUGCAGGGGAGACUGGAAUUCCUGGUGUAGCGGUGAAAUGCGCAGAUAUCAGGAGGAACACCGGUGGCGAAGGCGGGUCUCUGGGCAAUAACUGACGUGAGGAGCGAAAGCGUGGGGGAGCGAACAGG
rnacentral:rRNA from 1 species